rnacentral:misc_RNA from 1 species
GCAGGUUGAUACUCUUAAUUUUCAUAUAAUUCAAAUUUUAAAUUGACUUAUCCAUACUUCUAGGAGUAGGCUGGCUCUAGUUAACAACGUUAUUGAAUUUCUAAUUAUGGAUUUCUAGCUGUUUCAGGAUCAACCAGCCGCGUGACCUGAGAACAGAAAUGGAUCAUACGAUCCAAAACCAGCCAAGAACUGAACCACCAACCAACCCAAGUCCUAAGAACACAACCAGAACAAUUGCAGAUAACUCAGCUUCAAAAACUGGAACUGACUUAGGAGCAAGGAUCAUGAUGACGCUUGUCAGAUAGCCAUUACUUGCUCCAAGCAAAAAGGUUAGCGACAUCAC